CAGGAGGGAGUGCAGGGCAGCACGGCUCCUGCAGGAGCCACCGGGCUGACAUUCCACGUGAAUCUCUCACCUGCACAGCUAUACACAGUAAAAGGCAAAUGACCACUUCCUAAGGAAGAGGACGUCCCCAGACACCAAAACGUGGCCCACCACACAUCCUGGCUCUGCAGCUCAGCUGAACCAACCACUGGGAAUGGAUUCCUUAAAGCACGUUACUUACUGGUCGUGUCUGUGACACGGCCAAGAUAAUGGCACCGCCAGGGAUGUGUCACUGCCAAGGCCAGGCCGAAUUCCCUUCACUGCCAGAGCCAGGAACUCCAGCAGAGCAACUCCCGGUGUGCAGCGAGAGGGGCAGGAGCUGUCCCUCCUCCCGACCCUGCCAGUCUAGGGGACCGCCACGGCUCUAACAGAACAUUUAAAAUACGAGCGACCCCUCAAGCAGCACAGUCUCGGGAUCAUCCCCCACCUGCAGAACACACCUUUACCAUCCCUUCACACAGCUGAAGCUGGCGGCAGGAUUUGGGGUUUGAGCAGUCAGACCCUGCUGGCAGAUGCCAACAGCGCGGAAGCAGAGCGGGAACGCGCACAUUGCCAACAACACGGAGCAAAGGCGCCGUGGCAGCCCCAAACCCCGAGGAGCACCCUGCCCAGGGGACCCCCAGCUCUCUGGAGGCACCCAGGAGGGGCUGGCGGCUCCAGAGGCACCGGCCCCGAGGCCAGCCCUGGCCCUGCUGUGAAAUGGCGCCCGCUCCCAUCUUGGCAUCGCCGGGAGCGCCGCCGGAGCGGCCGCGCUCCCGCUGGAGCCUCUCCAGAACGUCAAGGUUUCAAGGGCAAAGCUUUCUUGG